rnacentral:rRNA from 1 species
UCUGUUUGAUCCCGGCGGAGGUUACUGCUAUCGAGGUUCGACUAAGCCAUGCGAGUCGAAUGUAGCAAUACAUGGCGUACUGCUCAGUAACACGUGGACAACCUACCCUUAGGCCUGGGAUAACCCCGGGAAACUGGGAAUAAUACCGGAUAUAUCGCGAAUGCUGGAAUGCGUCGCGAUAGAAAGCUCCGACGCCUAAGGAUGGGUCUGCGGCCUAUCAGGGUAGUAGUGGGUGUAAUGUACCUACUAGCCUACGACGGGUACGGGUUGUGAGAGCAAGAGCCCGGAGAUGGGUUCUGAGACACGAAUCCAGGCCCUACGGGGUGCAGCAGGCGCGAAAACUUUACAAUGCCGGCAACGGCGAUAAGGGGACCUCGAGUGCCAGGAUACAAUCCUGGCUGUCGUAAUGCCUAAAAAGCAUUGCAUAGCAAGGGCCGGGCAAGACCGGUGCCAGCCGCCGCGGUAACACCGGCGGCUCGAGUGGUAACCGCUAUUAUUGGGUCUAAAGGGUCUGUAGCCGGCUGAAUAAGUCUCUUGGGAAAUCUGGCAGCUUAACUGUCAGGCUUUCAGGAGAUACUGUUCGGCUCGAGACCGGGAGAGGUGAGAGGUACCUCAGGGGUAGGGGUGAAAUCUUGUAAUCCUUGAGGGACCACCAGUGGCGAAGGCGUCUCACCAGAACGGAUCUGACGGCAAGGGACGAAAGCUAGGGGCACGAACCGGAUUAGAUACCCGGGUAGUCCUAGCCGUAAACGAUACUCGCUAGGUGUCGGCCACGGUGCGACCGUGGUCGGUGCCGUAGGGAAGCCGUGAAGCGAGCCACCUGGGAAGUACGGCCGCAAGGCUGAAACUUAAAGGAAUUGGCGGGGGAGCACUACAACGGGUGGAGCUUGCGGUUUAAUUGGAUUCAACGCCGGAAAUCUCACCGGGACCGACAGCGAUAUGAAGGCCAGGCUGAAGACCUUGCCGGAUUAGCUGAGAGGUGGUGCAUGGCCGUCGUCAGUUCGUACUGUGAAGCAUCCUGUUAAGUCAGGCAACGAGCGAGACCCA